GUGAGUCAUUGUAGCAAUACAAGGCNUACGGCUCAGUAACACGUAGNNNAAUCUAACCUAUGGACGUGGAUAACCUCGGGAAACUGAGAAUAAUCCGCGAUAGAUCAUAAUUCCUGGAACGGUUUAUGGUCCAAAUGAUUCGUCGCCAUAGGAUGGGACUGCGGCCUAUCAGCUUGUUGGUGAGGUAAUGGCUCACCAAGGCUAUUACAGGUACGGGCUCUGAGAGGAGAAGCCCGGAGAUGGGUACUGAGACACGGACCCAGGCCCUAUGGGGCGCAGCAGGCGAGAAACCUUUGCAAUGUGCGCAAGCACGACAAGGUUAAUCCGAGUGUUUCCUGCUAAAGGAAUCUUUUGUUAGUUCUAAAACCACUGAUGAAUAAGAGGUGGGCAAGUUCUGGUGUCAGCCGCCGCGGUAAAACCAGCACNUCAAGUGGUCAGGAGGAUUAUUGGGCCUAAAGCAUCCGUAGCCGGUUCUGUAAGUUUUCGGUUAAAUCCACUAGCUUAACUAAUGGGCUGCCGAAAAUACUGCAGAACUAGGGAGUGGGAGAGGUAGACGGUACUCGGUAGGAAGGGGUAAAAUCCUUUGAUCUAUUGAUGACCACCUGUGGCGAAGGCGGUCUACCAGAACACGUUCGACGGUGAGGGAUGAAAGCUGGGGGAGCAAACCGGAUUANAUACCCGGGUAGUCCCAGCUGUNAACGAUGCAUACUCCGUGAUGCACUGGCUUGUGGCCAGUGCAAUGCC
rnacentral:rRNA from 1 species